GACGCAUGUCUUUGUUGGGAAAGUGUUUAGUGGCAUGGGAUGGGGUCGCGUCCUAUCAGCUUGUAGCGGGGUAAUGGCCCCCACCCUAGGCUUCGACGGGUAGCCGGCCUGAGAGGGCGGACGGCCACAUUGGGACUGAGAUACGGCCCAGACUCCUACGGGGAGGCAGCAGUGGGGAAUAUUGCGCAAUGGGGGAAACCCUGACGCAGCGACGCCGCGUGCGGGAUGAAGGCCUUCGGGUUGUAAACCGCUUUUGAUUGGGGAGCAAGCUUUCGGGUGAGUGUACCUUUCGAAUAAGCGCCGGCUAACUACGUGCCAGCAGCCGCGGUAAU
rnacentral:rRNA from 1 species